CAUUAACAACAUUAAAUCGUUGCUACUGCAGACUGCGUUCGUGGAAUUCAUUAUGAGGCUCGUGACUUUUACUUUCCUGUUAUUCAUAAUGUGUUUGCCGUACUUUUCGCGAGCCAAUCCAAGUCCCGAAGAAAAUUUGCCGUACGGAGAAGAUUGUGACACUCCAAAUGCAAUUUUGCGUCCAGUGCCAGAUUAUGUGUGCAUAUGCAACAAAUGGAAAAUAGUUCAGCAUUGCAGAAAAGAACCACAAUAAUUUGAUAAGUACCAACGAUUGAAAUGCUAUUUGUGUGAACAAGCAAAACUUAACGAAGUUUCAGAAAUUGAGAAAUAAAAUAUGACGUGAACAAAUAAA